rnacentral:rRNA from 1 species
AGAGUUUGAUCCUGGCUCAGAAUGAACGUUGGCGGCGUGGAUUAGGCAUGCAAGUCGCACGAGAAACCAAUUAGCUUGCUAUGAGGUGGACAGUGGCGAAAGGGAGAGUAACGCGUGGUUACGUGCCCUCGAGACCGGGAUAGUGUCGGGAAACUGGCAGUAAUACCGGAUAACAUCUUCGGAUCAAAUGGUGUGAUUCCGCUCGAGGAUCGGACCGCGUACUAUUAGCUUGUUGGCGGGGUAACGGCCCACCAAGGCUGCGAUGGUUACCGGGUGUGAGAGCAUGGCCCGGCUCACUGGGACUGAGACACUGCCCAGACAUCUACGGAUGGCUGCAGUCGAGAAUCUUCGGCAAUGGACGAAAGUCUGACCGAGCGACGCCGCGUGCGGGAUGAAGGCCCUCGGGUUGUAAACCGCUGUCAGUUAGGAGGAAAUCCAUGGGGGUUCUCCCUCAUGGUUGACCGAUUUUCAGAGGAAGGACGGGCUAAGUUCGUGCCAGCAGCCGCGGUAACACGAACCGUCCAAACGUUAUUCGGUAUCACUGGGCUUAAAGCGUGCGUAGGCGGCUUGGUAGGUGAGAUGUGAAAGCCCACGGCCCAACCGUGGAAUAGCGUCUCAAACCCUCAAGCUCGAGGAAGAUAGGGGUGAUGGGAACUUAUGGUGGAGCGGUGAAAUGCGUUGAUAUCAUAGGGAACACCGGUGGCGAAAGCGCAUCACUGGAUCUUUUCUGACGCUGAGGCACGAAAGCUAGGGUAGCGAACGGGAUUAGAUACCCCGGUAGUCCUAGCCGUAAACGAUGAGCACUGGGUUGAGGGAACUAUCACAUUCUCUCG